rnacentral:rRNA from 1 species
CAAGCGGUGGAUGAUGUGGAUUAAUUCGAUGCAACGCGAAAAACCUUACCUACCCUUGACAUGUACGGAAGACCGAAGAGAUUUGGUUGUGCUCGAAAGAGAACCGUAACACAGGUGCUGCAUGGCUGUCGUCAGCUCGUGUCGUGAGAUGUUGGGUUAAGUCCCGCAACGAGCGCAACCCUUGUCAUUAGUUGCUACAUUUAGUUGAGCACUCUAAUGAGACUGCCGGUGACAAACCGGAGGAAGGUGGGGAUGACGUCAAGUCCUCAUGGCCCUUAUGGGUAGGGCUUCACACGUCAUACAAUGGUACAUACAGAGGGCCGCCAACCCGCGAGGGGGAGCUAAUCCCAGAAAGUGUAUCGUAGUCCGGAUCGCAGUCUGCAACUCGACUGCGUGAAGUUGGAAUCGCUAGUAAUCGCGGAUCAGCAUGUCGCGGUGAAUACGUUCCCGGGUCUUGUACACACC